rnacentral:rRNA from 1 species
UGCAGCGACGCCGCGUGGGGGAGAAGGCCUCCGGGUUGUAAACUCCUUUCGCUCGUGACGAAGCCUUUGGGUGACGGUAGCGGGAGAAGAAGCACCGGCUAACUACGUGCCAGCAGCCGCGGUAAUACGUAGGGUGCGAGCGUUGUCCGGAAUUAUUGGGCGUAAAGAGCUUGUAGGCGGUUUGUCGCGUCUGCUGUGAAAGCCCGGGGCUUAACUCCGGGUCUGCAGUGGGUACGGGCAGGCUAGAGUGUGGUAGGGGAGACUGGAAUUCCUGGUGUAGCGGUGAAAUGCGCAGAUAUCAGGAGGAACACCGAUGGCGAAGGCAGGUCUCUGGGCCAUUACUGACGCUGAGAAGCGAAAGCAUGGGGAGCAAACAGGAUUAGAUACCCUGGUAGUCCAUGCCGUAAACGUUGGGCGCUAGGUGUGGGCCUCAUUCCACGAGGUCUGUGCCGUAGCUAACGCAUUAAGCGCCCCGCCUGGGGAGUACGGCCGCAAGGCUAAAACUCAAAGGAAUUGACGGGGGCCCGCACAAGCGGCGGAGCAUGCGGAUUAAUUCGAUGCAACGCGAAGAACCUUACCAAGGCUUGACAUACACCAGAUCGCAGCAGAGAUGUUGUUUCCUUUUGGUU